rnacentral:rRNA from 1 species
AGAAUCAACGCCGGCGGCGUGCCUAACACAUGCAAGUCGAACGAGAAAGUGGAGCAAUCCAUGAGUAAAGUGGCGCACGGGUGAGUAACACGUGACUAACCUACCCUUGAGUGGGGGAUAACCUAGAGAAAUCUGGGCUAAUACCGCAUAAUACCUUCGGGUCAAAGGAGCAAUUCGCUUAAGGAGGGGUCGCGGCCGAUUAGUUAGUUGGCGGGGUAAUGGCCCACCAAGACUGUGAUCGGUA